UACGAAGGGGACUAGCGUUGUUCGGAAUUACUGGGCGUAAAGCGCACGUAGGCGGAUUUGUAAGUCAGGGGUGAAAUCCCGGGGCUCAACCUCGGAACUGCCUUUGAUACUGGGUGUCUAGAGUAUGGAAGAGGUGAGUGGAAUUCCGAGUGUAGAGGUGAAAUUCGUAGAUAUUCGGAGGAACACCAGUGGCGAAGGCGGCUCACUGGUCCAUUACUGACGCUGAGGUGCGAAAGCGUGGGGAGCAAACAGG
rnacentral:rRNA from 1 species